AACCAUAGAAACCUGCGGAGUACCUGCGGAAGGAUCAUUACAGAGUUGCAAAACUCCCUAAACCAUUGUGAACGUUACCUAAACCGUUGCUUCGGCGGGCGGCCCGGGUCCUUCCCGGCGCCCCUCGGCCCUCACGGGCGCCCGCCGGAGGUAAACCAAACUAUUGCAUUGUAUGGCCUCUCUGAGUCUUCUGUACUGAAUAAGUCAAAACUUUUAACAACGGAUCUCAGAUCGGAAGAG
rnacentral:misc_RNA from 1 species